rnacentral:rRNA from 1 species
AUGAAGAAGGCCAAGCUCCCCGCCUCCUCCUCCUCCGCCGGUCACACCACUCGUCCCCUCCUCUCUCUCCCCCGCACACCCUCUCUCUCGCAGCAAACCCCAGUGCUCUCCGAUCCAGAUCCCUCUCCUCCCCUCGCCGCCACCCACCCCUCCCCUGCAGCCACCUACCUCCAACACCUACCCCUCACCUCGCUGCCACCCACCUCCGCCACACCUCCCCUCCCCACCUCAGAUCCUCUCCCCACUCCCAGAUCCAACUUGCCACCUGAGAACGAGGAGGUCGCGGCCAGGAACUUCGCGAUGCGGUGGUCGUCGACGCGGGGUCAUGACGCGGGGCCGUCCAUGGAGGCGGUGGUCGACGACGCGGUGUCCAAGCUGCUGAAGGCCGGCAUCGCGCUGUCCGAGAUCUCCUCUGCCCCCGGGCUGUCAGAUGAUGCCCUCGAAGGUGAAGAUGGGCUGAGAUGGCAGGCUGCUAGUUGCCUCGGCCUCGAAGAUGAAGAUGAAGGUGGAGGAGAGCGAGCGUGGGUGGUUGUGCUGAAGGUGUCCCUGCACUACAAAGUGUGCACUGGCAAGGUGAAGAAGCACCUCACCAAGAUGGAAGGUGAGCACCAACAUCUCUUAAAGUUUGGUGACAAAAUAAUGCAUCUUGAAUCCUGGGAAGACCAGUUACUUACUAAUAAUAUGUCAUUGGAGGAUAUGCUACAGCAAUGCAGCAAUUUGAAUUGA